CACGACUCUCGGCAACGGAUAUCUAGGCUCUCGCAUCGAUGAAGAACGUAGCAAACUGCGAUACUUGGUGUGAAUUGCAGAAUCCCGUGAACCAUCGAGUCUUUGAACGCAAGUUGCGCCCGAAGCCAUUAGGCCGAGGGCACGUCUGCCUGGGCGUCACGCAUCGCGUC
rnacentral:rRNA from 1 species